rnacentral:rRNA from 1 species
AACGAACGCUGGCGGCAGGCUUAACACAUGCAAGUCGAGCGGGCCCUUCGGGGUCAGCGGCGGACGGGUUAGUAACGCGUGGGAACGUGCCCUUUGCUCCGGAAUAGCCCUGGGAAACCGGGGGUAAUACCGGAUGUGCCCUGAGGGGGAAAGGUUUACCGGCAAGGGAUCGGCCCGCGUCUGAUUAGGUAGUUGGUGGGGUAACGGCCCACCAAGCCGACGAUCGGUAGCUGGUUUGAGAGGAUGAUCAGCAACACUGGGACUGAGACACGGCCCAGACUCCUACGGGAGGCAGCAGUGGGGAAUCUUAGACAAUGGGCGCAAGCCUGAUCUAGCCAUGCCGCGUGGGUGAUGAAGGCCUUAGGGUCGUAAAGCCCUUUCGCCGGGGAAGAUAAUGACGGUACCCGGUAAAGAAACCCCGGCUAACUCCGUGCCAGCAGCCGCCGUAAAAC